rnacentral:lncRNA from 1 species
GAUUUUUUACAGUGCUGGAGGACUGCAAGUCCAGCGCAGGAAAUCCUCUUUGGCAAAUUCUCAUUGAGUCCCUGGAAGUUCAUUUCUCCAGCAGUCUCUAUCCGAGUUUUUUGCUGCAGGCCUCUAGCCCACACAUUGCUGAAGCCAUUUAAAACCCAGAAUUUCUUCAGACCAGCCCAGGACUUCUCCAUCGUAUCUGCAGCAAGUACACUGCCAUUACAACUUUUUGUUGCAUCCAAGCGAUUCAUGCCAGUGUUAACUGCGGAAAACAAUCCUAAUGGGAAGGACAGCAUCCUCCUCUAUCCUGUGACUCCUCUGGUCAGUAGCAGAGCUUGCUGGAGCCUUGGCCUGGAUCUCCUUUCUUCUUGUACCUUCACCUAUGCAAGGGAAGUCAGCAUUAAAAAGCAAAGUGGCCUCUGAUGCUACAGAUUUACUAAGGAAUAUUGCGUAAGGUGUCCUCAGAGGUCUGGUGCCCGUUUGUCUUCAUGAAGGAGAGAGCAACAAGACCCAUGAACAGUAGAGCAACUUGUGCAAAAGGAAUCAGAGCUUCUGGCAGAGACAAAUGCAGCAGACUUCCCACAGAAACAGGUAUAAAUUUCAAGCAGAAA